rnacentral:rRNA from 1 species
AUACGGAGGGUGCAAGCGUUACUCGGAAUCACUGGGCGUAAAGGAUGCGUAGGCGGAUAAUCAAGUCAAAAGUGAAAUCCCACGGCUUAACCGUGGAACUGCUUUCGAAACUGGUUAUCUAGAAUUUGGAAGAGGCAGAUGGAAUUAGUGGUGUAGGGGUAAAAUCCGUAGAGAUCACUAGGAAUACCGAUUGCGAAGGCGAUCUGCUGGGACAUUAUUGACGCUGAGGCAUGAAAGCGUGGGGAGCAAACAGGAUUAGAAACCCCAGUAGUCC